rnacentral:rRNA from 1 species
GUGAUGCCUGCGAAUCUGUCUGGUGGUGGGGGAUAACGUUCGGAAACGGACGCUAGUACCGAAUACGUCCUACGGGAGAAAGAGGGGGACCUUCGGGCCUCGCGCCAUUANAUGACCCUAUGUCAGAUUAUCUAGGUGGUGAGGUAGGGGCUCACCAGGGCGACGAUCCGUAUGUGGUCUGAGAGGAUGAUCACUCACACUGAAACUGACACACGGUCCACACUCCUACGGGAGGCAGCAGUGGGGAAUAUUGGACAGUGGGCGAAACCCUGAUCCACCCGUGCCGCGUGUGUGAAAAAGGUCUUCGGAUUGUAAAGCACUUUAAGUUGAGAAGAAGGGUAGUAACUUAAUACGUUGCUACUUUGACGUUACCGACAAAAUAAGCACCGUCUAACUUCGUGCCAGCACCCGCGGUAAUACAAAGGGUGCAAGCGUUAAUCAAAAUUACUGGGCGUAAAGCGCGCGUAGGUGGUUUGUUAAGUUGGAUGUGAAAUCCCCGGGCUCNACCUGGGAACUGCAUCCAAAACUGGNNAGCUAGAGUAUGGUAGANGGUGGUGGAAUUUCCUGUGUAGCGGUGAAAUGCGUAGAUAU